UCCAUCAUGGUGUAGUGGCUAACAUUAUCGCCUCUCAUUGGCGUAUGUUGGUCUGACGCGAUAGCCCAGGGUUCGAUUCCCUGUGAUGGAA